CCUACGGGCGGCUGCAGUGGGGAAUAUUGCACAAUGGGCGCAAGCCUGAUGCAGCCAUGCCGCGUGUGUGAAGAAGGCCUUCGGGUUGUAAAGCACUUUCAGCGGGGAGGAAGGCGUUAAGGUUAAUAACCUUGGCGAUUGACGUUACCCGCAGAAGAAGCACCGGCUAACUCCGUGCCAGCAGCCGCGGUAAAACGGAGGGUGCAAGCGUUAAUCGGAAUUACUGGGCGUAAAGCGCACGCAGGCGGUCUGUCAAGUCGGAUGUGAAAUCCCCAGGCUCAACCUGGGAACUGCAUUCGAAACUGGCAGGCUAGAGUCUUGUAGAGGGGGGUAGAAUUCCAGGUGUAGCGGUGAAAUGCGUAGAGAUCUGGAGGAAUACCGGUGGCGAAGGCGGCCCCCUGGACAAAGACUGACGCUCAGGUGCGAAAGCGUGGGGAGCAAACAGGAUUAGAUACCCGAGUAGUC
rnacentral:rRNA from 1 species